AGUUGCAAACUUUGCCCGGUUCCACUGGCCUUGCUGCCUGAGAGAACUACCUUGCAGUCACUACUUGGGCUUGGCUCAAAUGCCUUUCUCUUGGUGAGCAGGUUCUGGGAAGGAAUGGUUGACCAUCGUCCUGAAACAUGGGAAGCACAAGGCAAAGAAUGAUGAAAAUUGGGGGCCGGAGAGAUGGCUCAGUGGUUAAGAGCACUGACUCCUCUUCUGA